UACGUAGGGUGCAAGCGUUAAUCGGAAUUACUGGGCGUAAAGCGUGCGCAGGCGGUUGUGCAAGACAGAUGUGAAAUCCCCGGGCUCAACCUGGGAACUGCAUUUGUGACUGCACGGCUGGAGUGCGGCAGAGGGGGAUGGAAUUCCGCGUGUAGCAGUGAAAUGCGUAGAUAUGCGGAGGAACACCGAUGGCGGAAGGCAAUCCCCUGGGCCUGCACUGACGCUCAUGCACGAAAGCGUGGGGAGCAAACAGG
rnacentral:rRNA from 1 species